CUGGCACGAAGUUAGCCGGUGCUUAUUCUGUUGGUAACGUCAAAACAGCAAGGUAUUAACUUACUGCCCUUCCUCCCAACUUAAAGUGCUUUACAAUCCGAAGACCUUCUUCACACACGCGGCAUGGCUGGAUCAGGCUUUCGCCCAUUGUCCAAUAUUCCCCACUGCUGCCUCCCGUAGGAGUCUGGACCGUGUCUCAGUUCCAGUGUGACUGAUCAUCCUCUCAGACCAGUUACGGAUCGUCGCCUUGGUAGGCCUUUACCCCACCAACUAGCUAAUCCGACCUAGGCUCAUCUGAUAGCGUGAGGUCCGAAGAUCCCCCACUUUCUCCCUCAGGACGUAUGCGGUAUUAGCGCCCGUUUCCGGACGUUAUCCCCCACUACCAGGCAGAUUCCUAGGCAUUACUCACCCGUCCGCCGCUGAAUCCAGGAGCAAGCUCCCUUCAUCCGCUCGACUUGCAUGUGUUAGGCCUGCCGCCAGCGUUCAAUCUGAGCCAGGAUCAAACUCUC
rnacentral:rRNA from 1 species